rnacentral:misc_RNA from 1 species
GUGGGAGGGGGCUUGCCCCCGAUGGCGGUAGGUCAGCUAUGAAUAAGCUGGCUGAUAGACCGCUAUCGGGGGCAAGCCCCCUCCCAC